CACGGCAGGCAAUGGAACAUAUGUUGUAAAACGCGUACCUCGCUCAAGUACAAGAUAUACGUUUCACGAGUCAAACAAGAAGUGCCGCUUGAACGAUAUGCAAUUAUCUGACCCAGCCGUGAGCGACUGUAUGGUAAGGAAGGACCCGGAUGCCUUGGGGUGGACGUUCAAGAGCGAUCCGUGGCUUUCAAAUGGAACGGCAUCCGGAUGGGAAUAUACCGUGCCGGAUGUGUUGUGUUAUAAACGAAUUAACCUCUGCCAGCAUCCGGACAAGGGUAAAUAUCAGGUGGAAGAAUUCAGUGUUCCCGGCACGUCAUAUUCAUACUCUUUCUCCUCGCAGGAAUGUAUCAAACAGGGCUUUGAACUGCUAAAGGCAGAGCUGAUGGACUGUGUGCAUAACAAGCAGGAUGGGUUGUUUCCACGCAUUGAGGCCUGGGCUAACAGCUCCACUCCAACCCUUACAACACAACCAACUUCUGCGCCCAAACUAAGUCAUGCUGCACCGAGUCUGUUGUGUCAGAAAAGGGUGGGAAAGUAUAAUGAACCUGUUGAACUGUGAUCUAUCCGUCAAGUCCAUCAUUCGGCCAUGCUAACGUCCACGUGAAGCACCCAUGAAGGAUACCAUAAUUUCCUAUACCGGCCUUAUAA